UGGGGAAUAUUGCACAAUGGGGGAAACCCUGAUGCAGCGACGCCGCGUGAGUGAAGAAGUAUUUCGGUAUGUAAAGCUCUAUCAGCAGGAAAGAAAAUGACGGUACCUGACUAAGAAGCCCCGGCUAACUACGUGCCAGCAGCCGCGGUAAUACGUAGGGGGCAAGCGUUAUCCGGAUUUACUGGGUGUAAAGGGAGCGUAGACGGUUGUGCAAGUCUGAAGUGAAAUGCGGGGGCUCAACCCCUGAACGGCUUUGGAAACUGUAUAACUAGAGUGCAGGAGAGGUAAGUGGAAUUCCUAGUGUAGCGGUGAAAUGCGUAGAUAUUAGGAGGAACACCAGUGGCGAAGGCGGCUUGCCGGGCUUUUACUGACGCUGAGGCUCGAAAGCGUGGGGAGCAAACAGG
rnacentral:rRNA from 1 species